AACACGUGGCCAACCUGCCCUGUGGACAGGUAUAACCUCGGGAAACUGAGGCUAAUACCUGAUAGCGGAGCUCCUCUGGAAAUUGAGAGCUCCGUGAAAUGUUCCGACGCCACAGGAUGGGGCCGCGGCUGAUUAGGUUGUUGGUGAGGUAAAAGCUCACCAAGCCGAUAAUCAGUAGCAGCCGUGAGAGCGGGAGCUGUCAGUCGGCUUCUGAGACAAGAAGCCGGACCCUACGGGGUGCAGCAGGCACGAAACCUUUACAAUGCACGAGAGUGCGAUAAGGGGACUCCGAGUGCGUCUUCCUUACAAAGGAGGACGCUUUUCUGCACUGUAAGGAGGUGCAGGAACAAGGGGUGGGCAACACUGCUGCCAGCCGCCGCGGU
rnacentral:rRNA from 1 species